GUAGCCGGCCUGAGAGGGUGNCCGGCCACACUGGGACUGAGAUACGGCCCAGACUCCUACGGGAGGCAGCAGUGGGGAAUAUUGCACAAUGGGCGCAAGCCUGAUGCAGCGACGCCGCGUGGGGGAUGACGGCCUUCGGGUUGUAAACCUCUUUCAAUAGGGACGAAGCGCAAGUGACGGUACCUNUAGAAGAAGCACCGGCCAACUACGUGCCAGCAGCCGCGGUAAUACGUAGGGUGCGAGCGUUGUCCGGAAUUACUGGGCGUAAAGAGCUCGUAGGUGGUUUGUCGCGUUGUCCGUGAAAUUUCACAACUCAAUUGUGAGCGUGCGGGCGAUACGGGCAGACUGGAGUACUGCAGGGGAGACUGGAAUUCC
rnacentral:rRNA from 1 species